CAAAAAGCCCGCAAGAGGGUACACUACAGCUUAUCUGAAUGCUUUCUAACCGGGGCUUGUUGUCGCACUUAAUUACUCCGGUGAAUAUUCCUACAGGUCACAGUCGAAGUUGCCCAUCCUCCACCUCAAGUCUUACUAGGCCUGAGUCAAAACAACCCAGUUGCUGAGAGUUAUCUGUCGCGGGCGUUUUGGAUUGUCUUCAGGAGGGACUCGAGUCAGCACUUCUAAAGCGGAUAUACUGGAGCAUUUUUUUCUGGUGAAAUAAAGGUGGUCUGAUAAUACAUGAAUGAUUGCUUUGUACAGGAGAAGUUAAUUGAAUGGCAGGUUCCUGAACUUGUAAAUAGUUUUGAAGGAAACAUGGUAUACUCAAAGCCGAAAUCAAAGACCAGCCGCUGGGUUCAUUGAAGAGAGACUGAGGAACAUAUACGUAAACAAUUGAGGAGCUUGAGACCACAAAGAGAGAAUGAAGAUUCACAGUGUAGGACAUUCAUACCAGAAUCAACCAUAUCUGAUGAAAGAGCUAACAAGAUGAAACAAUGGCUGAGAAAUAACAGCCCAUCAGCCAGGUGGAACAGUACAUGUGGGAUACCGCAUUGUACAGGGCACGGUGUAUAAGGGCUAGCAACUCUAAAAAUACAUUUGAGGUCCUCCAUGAGUUUCCUCAUCUAAUUACCCCAGGCAUGAUUGCACAGGACUUUUUAAUUUUACAUGAGGAGGCAGCACCAAAACUGUUUGAAAAAUGGCUUCCUUGGUAUGCUGACAGGAUCUUGAAUCUUGCGAAAUGGGAAGGCAAGCUUCCACUUUCAAUUGAAGAUAUGACGCAAAGUCCCCCUUUUUUUUUUUUUUUUUAUAAAAAGUUUACAUAUUGCAUAUUUGUUAUUACUAAAUGACAGCCCGUCACAACUACUGUUUAGUAGUGUUGAUAAAUGUACAAAUAUUUUCCUACAGAUGCCAAGGGAAAUCUUGCACUUAAGAUGUUACCUGUUAUGCUUCCACCUCCGGCUUAUACAAUUGGCAGAAAAACAUAUAGAAGAGUAUGUUUGUGUAAAUGGGUGUUUUACUGCUAAUUGAACUAGUGUAUUUUAUAGUUUUAAUUUUAUGUGCUCAUACUGUAGAUUAAAAACAAUAUGGGUUCUUUGUAAUAGACAAUUGUUUUAUUGCAUCUUGGGGUACAUAUUUUGGAUAAAUAAUAUGGGUUGUUUGUAGAGGCAACUGUUUCAUUGCACCUUGAGGUAUUUUAGAGUUCAUGAAUUUUCAUAAAUGUUAAUACAUUUACAUUGCUUUUCAACGGUAUACACUUAAACCAUAAUAUUAAAAUUGUGUUUGUUUGGAAUGCUUUAGCACUGUUUAUAAAUGAAAUUUGUGAUUUAGUUUUAUUCUAUAAGCUCUUGAAUCUUUGAGGUAAAAUGUAAUUAUUAUUGCACGUACUGAAAAAUGAUAUUAAUAAGAGAAUAAAGGAGAUACUAUGUUGACAUAUUUUGUUUAUAAUGUGGUAUAUUUUUGAAAUAAAUAAACGCUCAAGCUAGUAUGUACAUAUUCCAGAAAUGAAUGUCAACAUUAUGAACAGCACACUAUAUAGUAAAUGUGAACUGGUUAAAGUCAAACACACAGGUGGGGUCGAUGAGCAUCAACAGGUUAAAACUAUGAAGACAGAGAAACGUUGACUCCUGUAACAAUCUGCACGUCGCUGUUGGAUACUUUUGCUUUAAAAAAGGCGUAAUUUAUACACUUUGAUGUUGUAUUUUUACUGUUGAUUAUUAAAGGUUAUGAUUAUUAUGCCCACUCUU